GGUUAAGCGACUAAGCGUACACGGUGGAUGCCCUGGCAGUCAGAGGCGAUGAAGGACGUGCUAAUCUGCGAAAAGCGUCGGUAAGGUGAUAUGAACCGUUACAGCCGGCGAUGUCCGAAUGGGGAAACCCAGUGCAAUUCGUUGCACUAUCGUUAACUGAAUACAUAGGUUAACGAGGCGAACCGGGGGAACUGAAACAUCUAAGUACCCCGAGGAAAAGAAAUCAACCGAGAUUCCCCCAGUAGCGGCGAGCGAACGGGGAGCAGCCCAGAGUCUGAAUCAGCUUGUGUGUUAGUGGAACGGUCUGGAAAGUCCGACGGUACAGGGUGAUAGUCCCGUACACCAAAAUGCACAGGCUGUGAACUCGAAGAGUAGGGCGGGACACGUGGUAUCCUGUCUGAAUAUGGGGGGACCAUCCUCCAAGGCUAAAUACUCCUGACUGACCGAUAGUGAACCAGUACCGUGAGGGAAAGGCGAAAAGAACCCCGGCGAGGGGAGUGAAAAAGAACCUGAAACCGUGUACGUACAAGCAGUGGGAGCACCUUCGGGUGUGACUGCGUACCUUUUGUAUAAUGGGUCAGCG
rnacentral:rRNA from 1 species